rnacentral:rRNA from 1 species
UACGAAGGGGGCUAGCGUUGCUCGGAAUCACUGGGCGUAAAGGGUGCGUAGGCGGGGCUUUAAGUCAGGGGUGAAAUCCUGGAGCUCAACUCCAGAACUGCCUUUGAUACUGAAGAUCUUGAGUUCGGGAGAGGUGAGUGGAACUGCGAAUGUAGAGGUGAAAUUCGUAGAUAUUCGCAAGAACACCAGUGGCGAAGGCGGCUCACUGGCCCGAUACUGACGCUGAGGCACGAAAGCGUGGGGAGCAAACAGG